GGUUUUAGAUAUUUUAUACCUCAUAUUGUACCUAUUUUUCGGGACGGAUUUAUAGUGGAUUGCUCCUCCCCGUGGAUGUAGGCCACUUGUGCCGAACCACGUAAAUCUUGGUUUCUUUGUCUUUGUUUAUUUAUGCCUGCAAUGUGUUUGGCGAAUUGUCUCAAAGAGAUUAGAUAUUAGAUCAAAAGCCUAGGUCGAUCCUAUCCGGUGCGCGUGAUCUCAACAAUUGGUAUCAGAGCACUUGGAUGGCUGGUGACAAGAAACAAAGUUUUUCAAUGGCUAAUGAUCCAGCGUUUAUCUCUCACUCCACCACCAUCAGGCAUGAAGUGGCCGUCUUUGAUGGCACGGGAGACUUUUCACUAUGGAAGGUAAGGAUGAAAUAUUUGUUGGUUAAAGAAGGUGUAGCAAAAGCCCUUAAGGAUAUGGAUUCAAUCCUGGGAGAUAAUGAGGCUGCUAAAGAAGAAAUUAACGAAAGAGCCCUAAGAACCUUGUUUUCAUGUUUAAGUGAUAAAGUCCUACACAAUGUUGUGGAACUAGAUACAGCCAAAAGUGUAUGAAAAAAACUAGACAGUUUAUAUAUGGCAAAAUCCCUGACUAAUAGAUUAUAUUUGAGAAAAAAAUUACACAUAUUUCGCAUGACAGAAGGAACUUCACUUAAAGAUCACUUGGAUGAGUAUAAUAAGCUCCUGCUUGAUCUAGUAAAUGUUGGUGUCGAUGUAGAUGAAGAAGAUAAGGCUUUGAUUCUAAUUUACUCUUUGCCUAAGUCCUUUGAGCAUAUUACCACUACCAUGUUUUAUGGAAGAGAAACAAUAAGUCUUGAAGUAGAAGCUACUUUGUUAUCCAAUGAACUUAGAUUAAAAAUACAGCUUCAGCAUCAGACUCAGACUCCAGCUCAAGGUCUUACUGUUAGAGGUAGAGAUGAACAGAAAAAGGGGGGACAAGGUAGAAGUAAGUCCAAAAAUAGAUCAAAGUCUAGGCCCAAAAGACCAGGUAUUUGUCACUAUUACAAAAAGCCAGGCCACUGAAAAUCUGAAUGUAAACUUCUACAAUCUGAAAGAGAGAAGGAACAAAAAGAUAAAGGAACAAUCUCUGAUACAGCAUCAAUUGCAGUUUCUUCAGAAAGUCAUAGCAGUAUACCAGAUGAUGCAGUGUUAGUCAUGCUGAUACUUGGAUCGUGAAUUCUAGAACAUCCUUCCACAUGACACCUCACAAGAAAUGGUUCUCUUCCUUUAGAUCUUGUGAAGGUGGUACUGUUCUUCUUGGAGAUGAUGGUAUCUGUAGUAUAGAAGGUAUUGGAACGAUACAAAUUAAAUCUAAUUCAAAUGCCGUGGUGAUAUUGGAUGAUGUCAGAUAUGUUCCUAAAUUAAAAAGAAACCUUCUCUCAAUACAUGCCUUUGACAGAGCAGGAUAUGAGGGCAGAUGGGGUAGAGGAUCUAUAACUAUCAAUAAAGGGGUAUUAACUUUAUUGAGAGGUAAAUUAAGUGGCACCCUUUACUACCUGGAUGGCAGUACAGUUGUUGGUCAGGCAUCAGCAGUACAAUCUUCUAUUGAGCAGUUGACACAUUUAUGGCACCAGAGACUAGGACACAUUUCAGACAUAGGUCUACAGGAGCUGAGCAGACGUGGUCUGCUGAGUGGUCAGAAGAUUGGUGCACUUGGAUUCUGUGAGCACUGCAUAUUUGGAAAAUAACACAGAGUCAGCUUCACUACAGAUGUGCAUGGGACAACUGGUAUAUUAGACUAUAUUCAUUCUGACCUAUGGGGACCUGCCCCAAUUACAUCCAAGGGUGGAUCAAGAUAUAUACUUACUUUUAUUGAUGAUUACUCCCGGAAAGUCUGGAUAUACACCAUUAAAAAUAAGAGUGAUGUAUUUGAAACAUUCAAAAAGUGGAAGUCUAUGGUCGAGAGGCAAACUGAAAGGAAGGUGAAAACUUUUCGGACUGCUAAUGGUUUAGAAUUUUAUUCUACAAAAUUUGAUAACUUUUGCAAGUCAGAAGGUAUUAUUAGACAUAAAACAACAGUGGGUACA
rnacentral:lncRNA from 1 species